AACUUGUAACUUUUCUCUGCACCAGAGAGGCUUUCACAGGCUAGUUCCAUCACACUGCUCACUAAGGCCUCAUUUCUUUCUAGGGGUGGUGACAGAAUCCGUGGAUUCCAUAAAAAACAUGUGACCUCUGCAGGUGUUGGCAGAGCUUCAAGAGGGAACACUACACGCGAUGGAACGUUUUGAACUAGUUGGAUUCCUCCUUCCUCUGUAAUCUCGCUUCUGUAAAAUUAGAGAUGUGAAAAUUAACUUAAAAAAAUGAAAAAACUUCAAGAAAAAGCAUCAUCGUCCAAGUACAGCACCACUCGUAAAAAUACUCAGCAAAAUACACACUAAAACGAGUAAUAAAUAAAUAAAUAAAUAAAUAUCCACCACUUUCAACAACACUGAGGUGGAUAAUUGUUUUAGCACAUAACACCCAGAUACAAAAAAAUUAGUAUAUUUCUUUCAA